rnacentral:hammerhead_ribozyme from 1 species
GCACUGCUGAGGAGUCCCACAACAGGACGAAACGGCCGCUCAGUGU